GCCCUUAACAGGAUUAGAUACCCUGGUAGUCCACGCCGUAAACGAUGCCGACUAGCCGUUGGGACCCUUCGGGGUUUUAGUGGCGCAGCUAACGCGAUAAGUCGGCCGCCUGGGGAGUACGGCCGCAAGGUUAAAACUCAAAUGAAUUGACGGGGGCCCGCACAAGCGGUGGAGCAUGUGGUUUAAUUCGAUGCAACGCGAAGAACCUUACCUACCCUUGACAUCCUCAGAAUUUGUCAGAGAUGACUUAGUGCCUUCGGGAACUGAGAGACAGGUGCUGCAUGGCUGUCGUCAGCUCGUGUUGUGAAAUGUUGGGUUAAGUCCCGUAACGAGCGCAACCCUCGCCCCUAGUUGCCAGCGCGUCAUGGCGGGAACUCUAGGGGGACUGCCGGUUAUAAUCCGGAGGAAGGUGGGGACGACGUCAAGUCAUCAUGGCCCUUAUGGGUAGGGCUACACACGUGCUACAAUGGCCGGUACAGAGGGCGGCGAACUGGUAACAGCAAGCUAAUCCCACAAAGCCGGUCCCAGUCCGGAUUGGGGUCUGCAACUCGACCCCAUGAAGUCGGAAUCGCUAGUAAUCGCGGAUCAGAAUGCCGCGGUGAAUACGUUCCCGGGCCUUGUACACACCGCCCGUCACACCAUGGGAGUGGGCUGCUCCAGAAGCAGGUUGCCUAACCUUUUUAGAGGGCGCUUGCCACGGAGUGGUCCAUGACUGGGGUGAAGUCGUAACAAGGUAACCAAGGGCAAUUCCAG
rnacentral:rRNA from 1 species